AACAUAUGCUACUUUUAGCUGCUGAAUCGUACAUUUGUGGACAGUACUGUCACAGUGUUUUGUUUUGUUCGAUAAAGAAGUCAAAUAAGACUUUUCUUAUUCUUGUACAUUAUUGUUUCGAGAGCUAUCCACGGAGACACUCUUUCAACUUUUAUCUUACAACAAUACAUACUUUGAAUAUUGAGUUGUUUACGAAAACAACAGGCACUUUUGAGUUAUCAUUUUCAUCAAAAGGAAUUUCCAAAGAGAAGGGCACUUUGAGCAUCUGAAAACUCAAACAUGCUUGUGCAGUUGAAGAAUGGGAUACAACUUUCCUUGAGUGUUUGUUUUCCUGUGACAGGUUACAGCCGAUUUAUGGCGAG